rnacentral:lncRNA from 1 species
CGGCGUCUGUGAGUCCUUGCUUGAACACAGUCGUAGGACCAUCAGGCAACAGGGCAGCGGAGACUGUUGUCCUCUCUGACCCCCAGGAGCAAAGAAACGUGCCAUCUACCGGCAACCAACAACCAGCCGCCAAUGUGGUCCAUACGUAUGCAGACCGCAUCACAAACACACCCCCAUUGGAAGCCCAGCCCAUCCGCAUAGUACCUCCUACCCAAUACGAAGACAUCGACA